rnacentral:ncRNA from 17 species
AAGGGAAUACGCGAUGGAGUUCGCGGUAAAGCCGUUUUGCGGAUGAUGACUCCUACUCGAUU